UGACCUGGUGGUGGCGCCAUUCAUUUAACUUAGCCAGCGGUGCUGCCUUCUGCUCUAAGUAGUUUUGGCUGGAUUGGGCUGGGGAGGAGUGAAUGCAAGUCAAACGGAGUCCUGCCUCAGGUUUCAGGAUCUGCUGCCAAAGAAAGAAGAAGCGGCAUGGAGAACCGGGAGGGAGGAGCGAGGGUGAAGAGAAAGCAGAAGCCUGCAAAUACGGGGGGGAAAGAGAGAGGCAUCCUGGGCAAAGCACCUCCCUGUUAGCAGGGACAUAGUCAGAUCUGAGUUGAGCGUUGCCAGCACCUUGGGUGACCAGGCCGGUUUUGUGCUGGGCGACCUCCCUGUAAGCAGGGCUCGGGUCUUUGCUGUAGUUGGCCUUUUGCCUUGUUGCUCCUUUGGCUGCCUGGGGAGCGCUGGCCCCCUGUAUGGAGGGUGAGAGCCACCUCUUUGCACCGGAGUGGGAAAUGCAGCUCGCUGGACACCAGGGCCACCUUCUAAGCAGGGAUCUGCUGUCAAAGAAAGAAGCGAUAUGGAGAACUGGGAGGCCAGCGCGAGCAAGAAGCAGAAGCUUUUCACUGUCUUAUUUUGUGCAAUUCUCUUUUGUGUUUAGUAAUUGCAGUUCAAGCAUGUAUGUUGUAGUUGAUUUUUCCUCAUUGGCUUCAUUUUCUCCUCUGAAUAAAAUUUUUGUGCAUGUUGAAGUAGUUUCUUCUUCUCAUCUUUGAAACUGUAAAGCAAUCACAGGAGAUGACGGUCUGUAUUUGAGGUACAGGCUCUACACAACAAGAUAUCUAAAAGGAGGGUUUAACUCACCUCUCCCAGCCACAGUUUUGGUUAAAGGGUGAGCUGAGGAAUGCAGCCUUCUUCAGUUCAACCUCUGCCUCACUAGAAGUUUGGGGCUGGGGGUGGAAUUGGUGCUGACUGACUCCACGCUAUCCUGGAAGCGCCACUGUGCUGAUGAGUAUAGAAGGGUGAAUCUUGCCCCUCCAGGCACUCACAUGCUUGCAUACUGUUUCAGGCUUUGACCUGGCAAAUCCACAGCAGGCCCAUAUUGAAUUUUGAUAUUCAAUUUAGCAGCAUGAAGGCAUUUGUUUCUUACUGGUUGAACUGUGUUUGCCAUUGGUUUCUUUCCUCCACCGCUAUGGAAAGGAAAAUCCUUCAAGCUGAUCUGGGUGUUUUGGUGUCCUUUAUUUGAGGCAUAGUGCUGACUGAUGUAGCAGAGCUCUUCCCUUAAUCUUGCCCAUGUCCUGUGUCAAGCCAGCUCAGGGUAGUUUUUUAGCUGAAUAAGAUUGGCUCAUUUCCUGGAACACUCAUGCUGGACUCUGCUCCAGUUUUUUCUUCAGAGGUGUCAUCCAAAUGCAAUACUUUUAGAUUUAAGGGAUGACUGGGGUGUGCUCAGGAGUGCUUGGUUCCCUACCAUCUGUUAGUGUGGUUCUCUCUGCUGGUGCUUUAUCCCUCCUCUUCUUUAGAGCCUGAACUAUUGCACAUUCUGGGAUGAUGUAGCUGUAAUCAAUGGGGGUGCUCAUUUUGUUUCUCUGUUAUGUUGUGAUUUAGUUUCAGAGGUAGCUGAGCCCUGUGUGGCUGUUGGCUCACUCCCCCGCUUCCCAAAGGGAAGGAGGAGAGACUGGGGGUUGGGUGAUCAAGUAGAACUAAUGGAUUGGGAUUUAAAACAAUUUACUAAUGUUGAGAAAAGAAAUGGGGAAAGAGGGUAACAGCUAUGAUACA
rnacentral:lncRNA from 1 species